rnacentral:rRNA from 1 species
UUUCCCCUUCGGGGGACAAAGUGACAGGUGGUGCAUGGUUGUCGUCAGCUCGUGUCGUGAGAUGUUGGGUUAAGUCCCGCAACGAGCGCAACCCUUAAGCUUAGUUGCCAUCAUUAAGUUGGGCACUCUAAGUUGACUGCCGGUGACAAACCGGAGGAAGGUGGGGAUGACGUCAAAUCAUCAUGCCCCUUAUGAUUUGGGCUACACACGUGCUACAAUGGACAAUACAAAGGGCAGCGAAACCGUGAGGUCAAGCAAAUCCCAUAAAGUUGUUCUCAGUUCGGAUUGUAGUCUGCAACUCGACUACAUGAAGCUGGAAUCGCUAGUAAUCGUAGAUCAGCAUGCUACGGUGAAUACGUUCCCGGGUCUUGUACACACCGCCCGUCACACCACGAGAGUUUGUAACACCCGAAGCCGGUGGAGUAACCUUUUAGGAGCUAGCCGUCGAAGGUGGGACAAAUGAUUGGGGUGAAGUCGUAACAAGGUAGCCGUAUCGGAAGGUGCGGCUGGAUCACCUCCUUUCUAAGGAUAUAUUCGGAAC